GUGGUGCCUCACGAGCUCACGUACUGCUGUGAGGAUGGUCGAGGUCGUCGACGUUGGUGCUCCUGCCGUCACGCACACAAUGGCCACCACCACAGGUCACGAUCUAUCUCCUUGUCUGUU
rnacentral:pre_miRNA from 1 species